CUUCUAAUUUUGAGACAGAUUGAACAAUUGGAAAGUAUGAUCAGCUUUAGAAAAUUAAAAUGGAAAAUUAUCAGAACGGAAGAAUGAACCAUUUUCAUCCAUGACUUCACAUGGACUGUUUGAGUAUAGAGCCAGGUGAAAUUGAAUUGUGAAUGAAAGUAUCUAGACUGAAGCUUAAAAGAUCAGAUACUUCACCCAGGAAACAUUGUUUUUUCAAAUCUAGAAAUGAAAAUUAUAUUUAUAUCAGGUAGCAGCUGAAGAUAUCAUCUUAAAGGAGAACACUUGAAAUGCCUUGAUGAAAUUUGUCAAAAGUUUAGCCAAAUGGAAAUUUUUUAUUUGGCUUAAACACUUAACUGAUGAAACAACUUUUCCGCAACAUCUAAAUCCCAGAUGAGACUUUUAAAUCCAAGUAAGUUUGAAGCCACUUGAACUUUUCUAAGAUUCACUCCAGCAGCUUAUUUGCACUGAACACAGAAGUCUGAGGCAAGAAUGAGAAGAGACUAAAAUGCACCAUAGGUCUAAGCCAGAAGCUUUGAACUCAGAUCCAGAAGGAACAUCCAAAGAUCUACCAACCAGUCAGUCUUCCUCAAGCCCUGAGAAGGUGAUGAAGCAAUGAAUUCUGAAGUAUGUUUAGAAACACAUGAAGAACUAGGAGGUAAUCAGGAACAGUCAGCAUGUAUUUACAGUGGAG
ensembl:lncRNA